rnacentral:rRNA from 1 species
UAGGGAAUCUUCCGCAAUGGACGCAAGUCUGACGGAGCAACGCCGCGUGAGUGAAGAAGGAUUUCGGUUCGUAAAACUCUGUUGUAGAGAAGAACAGCGCAUAGAGUAACUGUUAUGCGUGUGACGGUAUCUAACCAGAAAGCCACGGCUAACUACGUGCCAGCAGCCGCGGUAAUACGUAGGUGGCAAGCGUUGUCCGGAUUUAUUGGGCGUAAAGCGAGCGCAGGCGGUCAAUUAAGUCUGAUGUGAAAGCCCCCGGCUCAACCGGGGAGGGUCAUUGGAAACUGGUUGACUUGAGUGCAGAAGAGGAGAGUGGAAUUCCAUGUGUAGCGGUGAAAUGCGUAGAUAUAUGGAGGAACACCAGUGGCGAAGGCGACUCUCUGGUCUGUAACUGACGCUGAGGCUCGAAAGCGUGGGUAGCAAACAGG